AUCCUCUGGCCUCGGCGCAGCAGUGCUGAAGUGCUGAGAGCUACGACCUCAUCUGCAGCACCCAAGAGGGCUCUGCUGAGCAUUUCCUCCCCAGCGCCUCCCGGUUUCAUUUGAAGAGGAUCCAUCACCGCUUCGUGUGCCUUUGAGCGCGGCCUGAGAGGCAGGGAGCCUUCCAAACCCCUUUCUCCAGCUUCAAAACUGCUCAUAUCCAAAGUAAAAAUACCAACAUUUCCACCUCUGAGCAGCAGAAUCCCGGCGUGAAGCCCCCGACCCCACACUGAGGCAGGGGUCCCCACUGCCCAUCCCCUGUGGAGCCACAGCUGUGUUCCCCCCAGCAGCAUGGAGCCAUCCCUGCUCCCCUCGGCUUUUCUGGCUGCUGAGUGCGGCUGCCAGGAAGGGAAGAAGGGAGGGAAGGAGGGAAGGAAGUGCCAUUGCUCCCAAGGUGGGAGAAUGCUGUACGUGGGGUCCUGAGGUGGCACCAUGUCCUGAGAUGGGAGAUGAUAAGUGGUCCCAAAAUGGGAGAUGGCACCGUGUCCUGAGAUGGGAGGUCCCAUAUGGUCCCAAGAUGGGAGAUGGCACCAUGUCCUGAGAUGGGAGGUUCCAUCUGGUCCCAAGAUGGGAGAUGGCACCAUGUCCUGAGAUGGGAGGUUCCAUAUGGUCCCAAGAUGGGAGAUGGCACCGUGUCCUGAGAUGGGAGGUCCCAUAUGGUCCCAAGAUGGGAGAUGGCACCGUGUCCUGAGAUGGGAGGUUCCAUCUGGUCCCAAGAUGGGAGAUGGCACCAUGUCCUGAGAUGGGAGGUUCCAUCUGGUCCCAAGAUGGGAGAUGGCACCAUGUCCUGAGAUGGGAGGUUCCAUCUGGUCCCAAGAUGGGAGAUGGCACCAUGUCCUGAGAUGGGAGGUUCCAUAUGGUCCCAAGAUGGGAGAUGGCACCAUGUCCUGAGAUGGGAGGUUCCAUAUGGUCCCAAGAUGGGAGAUGGCACCAUGUCCUGAGAUGGGAGGUUCCAUAUGGUCCCAAGAUGGGAGAUGGCACCAUGUCCUGAGAUGGGAGGUUCCAUAUGGUCCUAAGAUGGGAGGUGGCACCGUGUCCUGAGAUGGGAGGUUCCAUAUGGUCCCAAGAUGGGAGAUGUCAUGUGUUCCCAAAAUGGGAGAUGGGCGAACGCUACAUCAGGUGGGAGAUAUCACACGAUUCUAAGACUGGAGAUGCCAAGCAAUGCCAACAUGGGAAAUGCUACUCUUCUCAAGAGAUGCUGCGCUUUCCCAAGAUGGAAGAUGCCAUUUGUCCCAAGAUAUGAGAUGCCACCUGGUCCCAAAAGAGGAGAUGGCGCAGUGUCCCAAUGUGGGAGAUGCUGCACAUUGCCAAGAUGGGAGAUAUUGCAGUGUGCUGAGGUGGGAGAUUCCGUGUGGUGCAAGGGUGGGAGAUGCCACGUGGUUCCACCAUGGGGAAUUCUGUGCUGCUGAAAUGGGAGAUGCUGCAUGAGAUGGGAGGUGCCGUGCGAUCCCAAGGUGGGAGAUGCCACACAAGAUGGGAGAUGCCACAUGGCCGUGAGAUCGGAGGUGGCACAGUGUCCUGAGAUGGGAGGUUUCACACCGUCCCAAGAUGGGAGAAUGCUACACAAAGUGGGACGUGCUGCCCAGUCCCUAUGUGGGAAAUCAGAUAAGAGAUAAGAGAUGCUGACAUUCCUGAGAUGGGAGAUGCCACCUGGUCCUGAGACAGGAAAUGCUGCAUGGACCUGGGAGAUGCUGCACGAGAUGGGAGAUGCCACACAAGAUGGGAGGUGCCAUAGGGUCCCAAGAUGGGAGAUGCUGCACGUUCCCCAGAUGGGAGAUACCACGGCGUCCUGAGAUGGGAGAUGCUGGGUGGCCCCAGGACAGAAAAACCACAGAAGAUGGGAUGUGCCACGUGAUCCCAAGGUGGGAAACGGCACGGUGUCCCAAGAUGGGAGAUUCCUUGUUGUCCCAAGGUGGGAGAUGGUGCGGAUUGGAGGCGCCGUGUGGACUCACAGUGGGAGGUGCUGCACACCCCCAAGACGGGAGAUGCCACGGAGUCCCGAGAUGGGAGAUGCUGUACAGUCCCAGGACAGGAGAUGCUGCAUGGUCCUGACACGGAAGAUGCUGCAGCAGGGGAGAUGCCAUGCUGACCUAAGCCAGAAGGUGCUGCUCCCACCCGAGAUGGGAGAUGCCACAUGUCGUAGCUCCGGCUGCCAUCACCAGGCUCCUCUGCGCAGCGCUGACCUGGGCUUUCCCAGUCCACAUUUGCUAUGGGACAGGCGAUGGCCAGGCUCCUUCUGCUGAGCCCCCAUCGCCCAGCAGAUCCCCGGGGCUCCUCCACACACCGUGCCCCAUCCCCCACCUCCCCCAUCCCCAUUUUGCACGCACCCCCAGCGUCGCUCUGAGCCUCGUCCCACAGAUCCCCGUGCCCUCGACCCACCAGUGAUGCUGGGGAGCUUCAUUGCCCUGCAGCCUGCAGGCCUGCCGAGCAAGCCGUGCCGGGGGGAGCGCCGGGCUCACAGCGCUGCACGUGUAAUUGAUUUCCCCAGGAAACCCGGCCCAGCUGCAGCAUCUGGUCCUCACCAAGGCUGCCUUUACCUGCUGCUGCAGCCAGGCUCCGGCACGGCACGGAGCUCCUGGCGCUGCGGAACCGGGGCUGCGCUGGGCUGGAAGGAAGGAGGCUUCUGCCUUGGCUCUGAACCGUACCCAUUUUUAAUUAUACGAGCUGCUCAGGCUUUAUAUUAUCGUAUCAAUGAC